GUGUGUAGCUCAGUUGGAUAGAGUGUUUGGCUACGAACCAAAAGGUCGGGGGUUCGAAUCCCUCCACG
rnacentral:tRNA from 1 species